rnacentral:rRNA from 1 species
GAUGAACGCUGGCGGCGUGCUUAACACAUGCAAGUCGAACGAAGCAACUGUGAUUGAGACUUCGGUGGAUUGAUCAGUUGACUUAGUGGCGGACGGGUGAGUAACGCGUGGGUAACCUGCCUUGUACAGGGGGAUAACAGUUAGAAAUAUCAGAUAAUACCGAAUAUCCUUAUUGUUGUUAGAGGACAGUAAGGAAGGAGCUUUGGCUUCGCCUAAGGAUCGGCCCGCGUACUAUUAGCUAGUUGGUGAGGUAACGGCUCACCAAGGCGACGAUAGUUAUCCGGCCUAAGAGGGGUGAACGGACACAUUGGGACUGAGAUACGGGCCCAGACUCCUACGGGAGCAGCAGCUAAGAUAUUCCG